CCGGGUUGCAGCUGUCUCUGUGGCUGUGAGAAGCCACCCGGCUAGUCCGGGACCGGGUCGGCACUCCCAGCAGGAAACAGAAGCACCGUCCCGAAGCAGAGGCGCCUGCAGCUGUGCGCAGGGCGCGAACAGGUGCUGCUCUGUACUCCAAACUGCAUCACAUUAGGAGGCGCCCAACAUCUGGUUGUCUCACUUUAGUGAGGCUGAAAUUGAUCACUGGUGAGGCUGUGACAGCCAGACUUCUGCGUUGUAAAGGUCUGUGGACCCAGUGGGGUACUCACCAAACCUGGCAUCAGCGGUGAGCUUCAGGAUCUUCUCAUACUGUGGAGAAAGGAGGCCCUCAAGGGGUGCCGGGCCCCUGCUCACCAGCCCCCAACCCCUGGCGUGGAUCCUGCGCUCCAGCCAUACUGGCCUCCCUGCUGCUCCUGCUGCAAAUUAAACGUGGCUUGCUCUCUCACUUCACUCAGGUCUCUGCUCAAAUGACACCUCUUCUGAUGGACUUUCUCUGACUAUGCUUUCUUAAAUAGGCCCUCACACAAGGAAAUUUUGGGGGUCAGUGGAUGUAUUCAUUAUCUUGAUCAUGGUAAUGUUUUCAUGAGCAUAUACGCAUCAAAACUUAUUGAACCAUAUAUUUACACACACAUGGUUUGUUUUAUGUCAAUUCUUUCUCAAGGAAGCUGUUAAAAAAAUAAAACAGCUCUUCACCAUCAUACUUCAGCUGUUUAUCUUUCCUUCUUGAUCUCCAUGGCAUUUAUCACAGCAUAUAUCACAUUUUAUUACUUAUUCAAGGUCCAUCUCCUCCGUUAGGAUGCAAACCCACCUGGUCAACCACAUCUUGACAAUAUCCUCCACCCCCCAAUCAACUGUCCUUUGUCCCGCUUCUGUGGCAAAGCUCUAAUGCACAGCGAUGUUCACCUUCCCACCCCUCUAUCUGGGCUGCUUACAGAUGAUGGGAACGAAACCCGCAAACUGGGUACACGGUCAGUCCACGUUCUCCUGAUUCUGCUGGGCCCUCAGUGCAGCCCCAUAAUCCCAUGUCCUCUACUUGGCCCCAUCGUUCACCUUAUCAGUCACUUCAGACCUGCUCCAUGACCCUUCAACCUCCAAUCCUCCUUUUCACCUGUCAUCCCCCUGAUCACACCUGACCCCACUGCACUGGGGCUUCUACGUGGGCCUCCAAUGAAGUUCUCUAGCCAUGGUCACAAAUGACUUUCUUCACUAAAUCUAGUCUUCCUCUUCCUCAACUCCUCAGCAGCAUCUGACACAAACCCAUCCUUCUUCUUGAAGCCACAUACUCUUCUGGAUUUCUCCCUAUGGCCUGGCCUCUGUCCCAUUUUCUGGCUCACCCUCCUUUCCCCAGCCCCCAAAUGGUGAUCCCUGCAGACUGCCUACUGUCAUUAUUCUGGGGCUGGGGACUGGGACUGCUGGUGAGGUGGUGGGAGUGUUAAGGACAGCCUUGUACUUCUUCUCCUAUUUCAGGAGUUUUUACCCAUUUUGUGGCAUGGACUCAUCAGGCAUCUGGUGAAGUCUAUAGGCUUUUCCCAAAAUGAUGUUUUUAGAUGUAUAAAAUACA